CUUACAUAUGUGUAACUAUCAGUGCUUUCCCAUUACUUUUCUUUACUCCAUUUGGGUGUCUAGUAUGUUUUUCUAUAUACUUGUUGGUCCGUACCUUCCAUGGAAGGAUAUACAUCAAACUUGCAUGACCUCUCAAACACACUCAGAGCCUCUCAAGUAAAGGGAAAGGAAUUUAUUUACCGGUAAGCUUGACAAGUCCUCAGCCAAGUAAAAAGGACUGCAGUACAUGUCCCACUAAGACUCUUCAAGAUACAGAACUUAUCAAGUUUCUGCUAAGUGAUUGCAGGAGGAAAACCUGCAAUCUUUGCUAGGACCAUCUUACUGGGAACAGGGCUUGUCUUUCAUGCCUGCCAACUUUCUCAUAGGAUUUUCAUAACCAGCAGCCCAGGAAAAGCUUCAGUCCACUUUGUACUCAUGCCUUUUCUUGACAGUCAUGUCCAAAGGAGAUACCCACAACCCACUCCAUUUUCUCUCCCAAACGUUCUUCUCCAAGAGGCUUUAACUGAGGCCAGAAGCUGUUUUUCCUCUCCAUUUGAGGCCAGGAAGUUUGGAACAGGUGAGGUAAUUCUACUGAAACGCCUCUGGAAAAGACUGAAUGAAAAUGCAUCACAAGGCUCUGUCUCAACUUUCUUUUUCGAAAGAAGCAAGGAAAUGGCGAUGGAAUGGAAUGUGAUGUGUGUGCACGAGGGGGAGGGAUUUAUUUGCUCUGUGAGGCUGGAAAGGUGUGAGGCUUCUUUUCUCAAGGCUCCUCAGACGCAGGCUUCUGCCACCCACCUUUUUAAUAACUCUUAUACAUGGAAUAUGCAGUCAACCAGGCUUAUAGUCUUACCGAGAAGAACAGACUCCUUACCCAAACAACUUUCCUCUCUUUAACAAGAUUGACAUAUUUCUGCUAAGCAGUCUGGGAUAAGAGCAAGUCCCAGGCGAGGUGCAAGCAAAUAAAUCAAGUCUGUUUACCACUCCACUCUACUUACUGAAGAGAGAAGGUCAGAAAUAAACAGUGGCUUUUAAAAUAAAAUGAACAAACCAGUGAUUAGC
rnacentral:lncRNA from 11 species